GACGAACGCUGGCGGCGUGCUUAACACAUGCAAGUCGAACGGAAAGGCCCUGCUUUUGUGGGGUGCUCGAGUGGCGAACGGGUGAGUAACACGUGAGUAACCUGCCCUUGACUUUGGGAUAACUUCAGGAAACUGGGGCUAAUACCGGAUAGGAGCUCCUGCUGCAUGGUGGGGGUUGGAAAGUUUCGGCGGUUGGGGAUGGACUCGCGGCUUAUCAGCUUGUUGGUGGGGUAGUGGCUUACCAAGGCUUUGACGGGUAGCCGGCCUGAGAGGGUGACCGGCCACAUGGGGACUGAGAAGCGGCCCAGACUCCUACGGGAGGCAGCGGGGGGGAAUUGUGCACAAGGGGCGGAAGCCGGAUGCAGCAACGCCGGGUGGGGGAUGACGGCCUUCGGGUUGUAAACCGUUUUCGCCUGGGACGAAGCGUGGGUGACGGUAAUGGGUAAAGAAGCACCGGCUAACUACGU
rnacentral:rRNA from 1 species